GAGUUUGAUCGUGGCUCAGAACGAACGCUGGCGGCAUGCCUAACACAUGCAAGUCGAACGAGAUCUUCGGAUCUAGUGGCGCACGGGUGCGUAACGCGUGGGAAUCUGCCCUUGGGUGCGGAAUAACUUCUCGAAAGGGAUGCUAAUACCGCAUAAUGUCGUAAGACCAAAGAUUUAUCGCCCAAGGAUGAGCCCGCGUAAGAUUAGCUAGUUGGUGGGGUAAAAGCCUACCAAGGCGACGAUCUUUAGCUGGUCUGAGAGGAUGAUCAGCCACACUGGGACUGAGACACGGCCCAGACUCCUACGGGAGGCAGCAGUGGGGAAUAUUGGACAAUGGGCGAAAGCCUGAUCCAGCAAUGCCGCGUGAGUGAUGAAGGCCCUACGGGUUGU
rnacentral:rRNA from 1 species